GUGCCCAUUUUGGCAGCACACGUACUAAAAUUGGAAAGAUACAGAGAAGAUUAGCAUGGCCCCUGUGCAAGGAUGACAAUCAAAAGUGAGAAAUUAUUUUAAAAAAU
ensembl:snRNA U6 U6 spliceosomal RNA